GACGAACGCUGGCGGCGUGCUUAACACAUGCAAGUCGAACGGUAAGGCCCUUCGGGGUACACGAGUGGCGAACGGGUGAGCAACACGUGGGUGAUCUGCCCUGCACUUCGGGAUAAGCCUGGGAAACUGGGCCUAAUACCGGAUAGGACCACUGCCUGCAUGGGUGGUGGUGGAAAGCUUUUGCGGUGUGGGAUGGGCCCGCGGCCUAUCAGCUUGUUGGUGGGGUGAUGGCCUACCAAGGCGACGACGGGUAGCCGGCCUGAGAGGGUAGCCGGCCACACUGGGACUGAGAUACGGCCCAGACUCCUACGGGAGGCAGCAGUGGGGAAUAUUGCACAAUGGGCGCAAGCCUGAUGCAGCGACGCCGCGUGAGGGAUGACGGCCUUCGGGUUGUAAACCUCUUUCAGCACCGACGAAGCGCAAGUGACGGUAGGUGCAGAAGAAGGACCGGCCAACUACGUGCCAGCCGCCGCGGUAA
rnacentral:rRNA from 1 species